UACGUAGGUGGCAAGCGUUGUUCGGAAUUAUUGGGCGUAAAGGGCGCGUAGGCGGUUUGUUAAGUCGGCUGUGAAAGCCCGGGGCUCAACCCCGGAGGGUCAGCCGAUACUGGCAGACUAGAGUACGGAAGAGGUAGCUGGAAUUCCCGGUGUAGCGGCGAAAUGCGUAGAUAUCGGGAGGAACACCUGAGGCGAAGGCGGGCUACUGGGCCGAUACUGACGCUGAUGCGCGAAAGCCAGGGGAGCGAACGGG
rnacentral:rRNA from 1 species